UGUGUGAAGGGCAGUGGGUGAAUGCCAGUCAUCUGCAGAGUGCUGUGGGCACCCCCCCCCGCCUUCACCCCCGCCAGCUCCCUCUGGAUUCACGGACAAGUCUCUGAGCCAACCCUUGCCUGUGGCUGAGACCCUGAGCAGGAAGCAGCAUGACGUGGUGGAUGGAGCACGGGCCUGGGAGUCAGAAGGAGGAAAUGCCUGGUUGCCAUCGCCCAGGCUGUGGGAAUGGAAGAGCUGGUGGAGGAGGAAGAGGAGCAGAGAAACCCCAGGAAAGUUCCACAGGGGCCCAGUCCGGUGAGGAGAGGCGGAUUGGCUUGUCCCUUGGAAGGGCUGGAGAAAACUGCCCAGGGGUAGCCGUGCAGUCCAGGAACACCCCCCACCCCCGGAACUAUGAUGAUGGAGUCAUCUCCCGGCGAGUGGUCCUCCAGUUUACGCUUCCCGUUUGAGGCCGAGUCACCCGGAAGAUGGGUUCCCAGGCAUCGGAGGCUGCAGUGCCGGAUGCACACGGCCCUUGGAGGAGCAGAGGGAAUUUGGUGGUCAGGCACCCUCAGAGUCCUACUAGUCCAAGAACUGGAGUUUCUCGUGGGCUAGUUGUGUUUGGAUGCGCUGUGAGAGCUGCCAGUCGAUGCCCGUCUCGGGAGGGAAACGCGUGUCACGUCUCCGUUCCAGGGAAGGGACGACUCCCGGGCAUUUUGGUAACCUCAUCAGGUAGAUGUCGUGGCCCAGAGGGAGGCUCCUCACCUCCCUCGGGCCCCCACCCCACCACCCUGUUUGUUGUUAUACCGUACUCUCCCAAGCGCUUAGUACAGUGCCCUGUACACGGUACGCGCUCGAUAAAUACGAUUGACUGACUGAAUGACACCCUACCCGGUCCCUCUACCUUCCUCACUGAUGACCGCAUAUGUACAUAUCUAUGAAUUACUUACAUUAUUGUCCCUCUCCCUCUCUAGACUGUAAGCUCACC